rnacentral:rRNA from 1 species
GGGAAUUUUCCGCAAUGGGCGAAAGCCUGACGGAGCAAUACCGCGUGAGGGAGGAAGGCUCUUGGGUUGUAAACCUCUUUUCUCAGGGAAGAAAAAAGUGACGGUACCUGAGGAAUAAGCAUCGGCUAACUCCGUGCCAGCAGCCGCGGUAAUACGGAGGAUGCAAGCGUUAUCCGGAAUGAUUGGGCGUAAAGAGUCCGUAGGUGGCAUUGAAAGUCUGCUGUUAAAGAGUCUAGCUCAACUAGAUAAGAGCAGUGGAAACUACAAAGCUAGAGUUUGGUCGGGGCAGAAGGAAUUCCUGGUGUAGCGGUGAGAUGCGUAGAUACCAGGAAGAACACCGGUGGCGAAGGCGUUCUGCUAGGCCGAGACUGACACUGAGGGACGAAAGCUAGGGGAGCGAAUGGGAUUAGAUACCCCAGUAGUC